rnacentral:lncRNA from 1 species
UACUCUUUCCCAAUCAUGCAUACUCUCUCCCAUAAGCUCAAGGGGCUUGAAAACUGACCUAAACCCCAACACAAACAUCACAUGAACAUACAUUAUCAUACAUUGGGCAUAAAACCCACAUAAACCCUAACAUGCAUAUCUACCCAUACUCAACUAUCAAAACCAUCUUAAAACUCACUUAAAACUUCGUGAAACGUAAAGGAAAGCAUAGAUCCACACUUACCUCUUGAAGAUCGAGGGUUUGUGCGAGCUCUAACUUGGAGAUGCGAGGAAACUACUCCUUGGGUCUCCAAGCUCCUAAAACUCUGAUCUAAGCUUGAAAACUCUUCAAAACAACCAUGGAACUCAUAAAAAUAUGAAGGAGAUGAAGAGAAAACAUGAAAAUGACCAAAGGAGGACAUGAACACACCUGAGCUCGAGAAUGGGGAGAAAUCUCGCCCAUUUUCGGUCUGAGGGGCUUUUAUAGGUGGCCAGCCAAACCUCCUUCGGCGGCCUAACAUGCAUGCAAAACACCCCCAUGUUCGGCGGCCGAACUUGAGGUUCGGCGGCCGAACCUGGUUUGUUCAAACAUAGCUUUCGGAGGCCAAAAGCACUCCCGAAACCUUCCCAUGUUCGGCGGCCGAACUUCACUUUCGGCGGCCGAACCUGGCAAAAACCUCCUUGGUCUUUUCUUUUCAAAACUCACUUCUUUUUCAUUUAAA